rnacentral:hammerhead_ribozyme from 1 species
UCACUGCUGAAGAGUCCCACAAUAGGAUGAAACGGUCGUUCAGUGC